rnacentral:rRNA from 1 species
AGCGAACGCUGGCGGCAGGCCUAAUACAUGCAAGUCGAGCGGUCACUUCGGUGGCAGCGGCGGACGGGUGAGUAACGCGUGGGAACGUGCCCUUUGGUUCGGAACAACACAGGGAAACUUGUGCUAAUACCGAAUGUGCCCUUCGGGGGAAAGAUUUAUCGCCAUUGGAGCGGCCCGCGUUGGAUUAGCUAGUUGGUGGGGUAAAGGCCCACCAAGGCGACGAUCCAUAGCUGGUCUGAGAGGAUGAUCAGCCACACUGGGACUGAGACACGGCCCAGACUCCUACGGGAGGCAGCAGUAGGGAAUCUUGCGCAAUGGGCGAAAGCCUGACGCAGCCAUGCCGCGUGAAUGAUGAAGGUCUUAGGAUUGUAAAAUUCUUUCACCGGGGAAGAUAAUGACGGUACCCGGAGAAGAAGCCCCGGCUAACUUCGUGCCAGCAGCCGCCGUAAUAC